rnacentral:rRNA from 1 species
UACGAAGGGGGCUAGCGUUGUUCGGAAUUACUGGGCGUAAAGCGCGCGCAGGCGGUUCUUCAAGUCAGAGGUGAAAGCCCAGAGCUCAACUCUGGAAUGGCCUUUGAGACUAGAGAACUAGGGUACGGGAGAGGUGAGUGGAAUUCCGAGUGUAGAGGUGAAAUUCGUAGAUAUUCGGAAGAACACCAGUGGCGAAGGCGGCUCACUGGCCCGUUACCGACGCUCAGGCGCGACAGCGUGGGGGAGCAAACAGG